CAGCCGCCGCGGUAACACGAAGGGUGCAAGCGUUAAUCGGAAUUACUGGGCGUAAAGCGUGCGCAGGCGGUUCGGAAAGAAAGAUGUGAAAUCCCAGGGCUUAACCUUGGAACUGCAUUUUUAACUACCGGACUAGAGUGUGUCAGAGGGAGGUGGAAUUCCGCGUGUAGCAGUGAAAUGCGUAGAGAUGCGGAGGAACACCGAUGGCGAAGGCAGCCUCCUGGGAUAACACCGACGCUCAUGCACGAAAGCGUGGGGAGCAAACAGGAUUAGAUACCCCCGUAGUCCCUGUCUCUUAUAC
rnacentral:rRNA from 1 species